GGGCACUUGGCACAGUUGGUAGCGCGCACGCUUCGCAUAACUGAGUAAGAGUUGAUGCGUGAGGUCAGGAGUUCGACUCUCCUAGUGUCCA